rnacentral:rRNA from 1 species
GGAAUGACUGGGCGUUAAGGGCAUGUUAGGCGGAUGAUUAAGUUAGGUGUGAAAGCCUCGGGCUCAACCUGAGAAUAGCAUUUAAAACUGGUGAUCUGGAGUACUGUAGAGGGAGGUAGAAUUCCACGUGUAGCGGUGAAAUGCGUAGAGAUGUGGAGGAAUACCGGUGGCGAAGGCGGCCUUCUGGACAGAUACUGACGCUGAGAUGCGAAAGCGUGGGGAGCAAACAGGAUUAGAUACCCUUGGNU